UACGUAGGGUGCGAGCGUUUGUCCGGAAUUACUGGGCGUAAAGAGCUCGUAGGUGGUUUGUCGCGUUGUCCGUGAAAACUCACAACUCAAUUGUGGGCGUGCGGGCGAUACGGGCAGACUGGAGUACUGCAGGGGGAGACUGGAAUUCCUGGUGUAGCGGUGGAAUGCGCAGAUAUCAGAGGAACACCGGUGGCGAAGGCGGGUCUCUGGGCAGUAACUGACGCUGAGGAGCGAAAGCGUGGGGAGCGAACAGG
rnacentral:rRNA from 1 species